rnacentral:lncRNA from 1 species
CGAAUCAGUACAUGAUAUAUACAGGCAUGUUCAAGUUUUCGGGCAGAACUCACCCUUAAAAUCAGCAAGAAACGGCGCCAGUGGACCGUGGUUAUAAAUUGACAUAAUUAAUUCUACAUCAUAAAAUCUAUUUUUCUUGUUAUUAUUUACUACAUCAAUUCCAAACAAUAAAAACGCGAAGAAUACUAGAAAAAAAAAAUGAACUAAAAUUCUACCAGAAACAAUGAGAUUGGGAAGAAACAUCCCUCGUAGCAUAACCAUGUAGGCGAAGAAAAAACCUUCUGCUGCUGCUUCUUCUUCUACUACUUGUGAAAAACAAGCCAUUUGUGAGCCUCAACCACAGAAUUUUUCUUAACUUUCUUGCUGAUUUGAAUCUACCCCAUAUCACCCUUUUGACUCUAAACAGGGAUUUCUUAAUCUUCUCCGUCAAACUCUGCUUCCUGGAGAACUGGUAGCUUCUCAAGAACAGUUGCCUCUUUUCCAAUUCUGUGUAUCCUUUUUCACUUCUAAACAUGUAUACAGGGCCCAUAUUAGUAUAGUUGAGCGACAUAUCUGUGUACAGUUUUGGAAGAGAAAAAAUUGGGUUUUUGGGCAGCGUGGGAAAAGUGAUGAAGAAGAGUUUGAUGGCUGGCGGCUUUAAGAAGG